UGGUGGUCGUGCUUGCACAGUAUAGGAAAAAGCAACACACAGGCUAGUGCAUUUUCCUACAUUGUGCAAGCACGACCACCACUGAUGGAUUGCAGGGUGGUCUGUUACCAUGGAAACGAGCAGUGUAUAAUGUGAU